UACAGAGGUCCCAAGCGUUGUUCGGAUUCACUGGGCGUAAAGGGUGCGUAGGCGGUCGGGUAAGUCUGAUGUGAAAUCUCACAGCUUAACUGUGAAACUGCAUUGGAUACUAUCCGGCUAGAGGAAUGGAGGGGAGACUGGAAUACUUGGUGUAGCAGUGAAAUGCGUAGAUAUCAAGUGGAACACCAGUGGCGAAGGCGAGUCUCUGAACAUUUCCUGACGCUGAGGCACGAAAGCCAGGGGAGCAAACGGG
rnacentral:rRNA from 1 species